CAAUUAUCUAUUUCUACAUAACAAAUUACCCCCAAACUUGUUGGAUUAAAAAACAAACAUUUAUUAUGUCACAAAUGAGCAUUAAUGGAAGACAAAGAUAAGAACAUCUAGGGGAGCAGGCCUGUGGCUGGACCUAUAAAGAGGGCAGAACUUUGAGUCUCAUAUUAGUGCCCAUCAGAGAGUAUCCGUUGCUGAAGAAGUCACCAACCAGCUUGCCAUCAGCCUGCCUCGUGGGCCCCCUGGUGCUUGAUGAGAUCAUGAACCUGGUGUCCAUGAAGCUAUAAUGGAGACUAUGGGCCCAGUAGCAUGGUCUUCCUCUCCAAGGUCGAUGCAGCUCUUGCUUCUGCUGAUGCCCUGCCCUGCCAGUAUCAAAGACCAACUCAGAACCUUCAAAGUGGUGCCGGCUCAAGGAUUCCAGUUCACCUUUGAAAAUGUACAGAGCAACAUCCUAGAACUUAAGAAUACCUGAUAUAUUGACAUAAGAUCUCAGAAAUUAUGCAACAAAAAUGGUGCAGCAAUGUGUGAUGACCACAGCAUCCAAUGGUUCCACCCUUUGCUCCAUCAUUUGGAAACAGAUGACUCAAAGAACUACAGAAGAUCGGAACUGGUGAAAGCUAUCUACCAGAGAAGAGUAAUAAAAUUGAAGUGAGUUUGGAUUAUGUUCUCCAUUAUAGCAUCAGAUGGCACCAGCUGAAGAGUCAUCUGUUUUGAAUGUGGAAAUAGCAUUUGACCAGGGAGUCAGAAGAUGUGAGUUCACAGCCUGGCUUCAAUAUUUACUACCACCCUGAUGACUGUGGCCGUAUGCAAUUCUAUUCUCUGAAUUUCAGUGUCUUUAUUUGUAAAAUAGAGAUGUUAUUGCCUGUACUA